UCAGAGACCUGGCAAUGCAUCAGAAUUACCUGUGGAACUUGUUAAAAAUAGAGGAGCUGGAUUUGGCAUGAGGCUGGGGCAUCUGUAUUUUUAAUAAGCUUCUCAUCUGAUUCUACUUACAACCAACUUGGAAGCCUACUCCAUCAAGUUCCCAUAGGAUCUGAUAUAGAAAAAGAACAUCGUAGGACUAAAAAUGGGGUUUGGCUGAGACUCCUGGAACUACUGCAGACAUCUUGCUACCAGCCUGCUGAUAAGGCUGACCCAAAAGCAGAGAGCAGAGCCAAAGGAAUUGCAGAAAAGCAGUAUGAGAAUAUUUGUGGAUCGGCCUUGAUCUAUCCCUGAACUUCUUAUUAGGUCUUGGAAACCAAGCAGGGCUCAGGUAGGUGAUCCUUCUGUUCCAGGUAGCAUCAACUGAGCUCACUCAGUUGUAUUCAGCAGGCCAAUGAUGGUCUGAAGAGUCCAAGAUGGCUUCCCUCACAUAUUUGACAUCUUGGCGUUGAUGGCUGGUAGUCUGGACUCAGCUGGGACCUUCAAGCAGAGCACGUCUACGAGGCCUCUCCAGCAUGGCCAUCUCAAGAUGUGAAUGACUUUCCUUGCCUGCACAGAAGCUGGAAAAGGGAAAACAACCUUAAACAACUUUAUUUGAGGAGGGAGAGUGUCAACCUGGUCAUUGUGAAAUACUGUUUGAAAGCUGCAUUCUUCUAAACCACUAAGACACGUACUACUGGGAAGACACUGUUCUAACUCUACCAUUGGAUCUUCACAACAGCCCUGUGAUGGACUGAAGGUGCGACCAGGGGAGAAUGGCAGAGGGAGAGAAACAGAGAAUCUCAAGCAGGCUCCUAGCUUAGCCUGGAGACCAAUGUGGGGCUUG